GAUGAACGCUAGCGGCAGGCNUAAUACAUGCAAGUCGAACGGUAACAUUGGUGCUUGCACCAGAUGACGAGUGGCGCACGGGUGCGUAACGCGUAUGCAACCUACCUUUUACUAGAGUAUAGCCCAGAGAAAUUUGGAUUAAUCCUCUAUAACAUCUUUUAAUUUCAUGAUUUUAAGAUUAAAGUUUUAACGGUAAAAGAUGGGCAUGCGUCCUAUUAGUUUGUAGGUGAGGUAACGGCUCACCUAGACUACGAUAGGUAGGGGCCCUGAGAGGGGGAUCCCCCACACUGGUACUGAGACACGGACCAGACUCCUACGGGAGGCAGCAGUAAGGAAUAUUGGACAAUGGACGAAAGUCUGAUCCAGCCAUGCCGCGUGCAGGAUGACAGCCCUACGGGUUGUAAACUGCUUUUAUACUAGGAAGAAACUACUCCGACGUGUCGGAGCUUGACGGUACUGUAAGAAUAAGGAUCGGCUAACUCCGUGCCUGCG
rnacentral:rRNA from 1 species